UACGUAGGGAGCGAGCGUUGUCCGGAAUCAUUGGGCGUAAAGCGCGUGUAGGCGGCUCGGAAAGUCUGGUGUGAAAACUUGAGGCUCAACCUCAAGCUGUCACUGGAAACUGUCGGGCUUGAGUCCGGAAGAGGAGAGUGGAAUUCCUGGUGUAGCGGUGGAAUGCGCAGAUAUCAGGAGGAACACCUAUGGCGAAGGCAGCUCUCUGGUACGUGACUGACGCUGAGACGCGAAAGCGUGGGGAGCAAACAGG
rnacentral:rRNA from 1 species